CCAGGUUCCCUCUCUCGCUCAUCUCCCACUCUCAUCUCUCUUUCUCUCUAAUCUCUCUCACCCUCACACACCUCUCGCCUGAAUCUCCCUCCACUGGCCAAGUCUCUCUCUCGCCGUCUCUCUCCGCGCGGCUCUUACUCCGGCGAACCACCACUUCCUCAGCCGUUCUUCACAUCUCCCUGGGUCUCUCUCGCCGCCGUCAGCCACCAGACUCGGCAUCUCUCUCUUGCUCUGGAUCGAGCAUUGAAGGCGUGAUACCAAGCAAAGGCAAGAAAAGGGGAGAGUUGUAUAGCGGUUCUGUAGUUACGGAUUGUUCGAGACGAGUAGAACCAGACGUUGGGGAUCAAGACUGAAGUUAGAUAAGAUUUCGUAUCAAGCUGCAGCAACCGCAUGAGCGCCAUAACAGAAAAUCAGGAAUAGUUGAGGGUGAUGUCUUGAGAAAGCAGAAUAAGAUAAGAAUGUUAGCUAAGAGUGUAUAAGCUAAGGACCAAAGCUAAGGCUAGAGAUGGAUUAUCUGAUUAGGCUGCGCAUGAGAGUGAUGCUAAGCGGCAAGGAUUCUAAGUGGUUAAGUUAUACAUCAGAGAUGAGGUUGGUUGAUUCUAAUUUCAAUACUGUAACCUGGAUGCGAUCCUGUUUUAGGGGGUUAAAGUGGUUUCUUUUAAAUCUGUUAUUAAAACUUUCAGGUUUUAAAUUAUUUGGUUUCGGAAAUUCAAGUUUUUAAAAAGUGUUUUGAAAAGGUUUUUGCUGGCAACGUUAGAAUCCAUUUUCGAAAGUGUUUUUAAAAGGUUUUGUUGGUUUUAAAUUGUAUUUUCAUUUACACGUGGCACCAGAUCCAGACCCCCGGAUCUGAGGGCUGUCACAGUUGGUAUCAGAGCUACAGGUUUCAAAGUAUUGAAAUUAGAAUGUAGGUUGUGAUAAGAGUGUGUUUAGUGAAACCUCACAUAGAGGUAAGUCAAGGUUCUGGGUUAUAGUCUUUGUUGAUUGAACUGAGAUUGAGGUUAGAGUAAUGAUUCUGAGUAAUCAUUUUGGGAGUUUCCACGUCAAGAACUAAUGAGUUAGGAUCUCAGGAGAAACAUAAUUAGAUACCUUUAGUUUCCAAUCUUCCAAAACUUGAGAGGGAUUUUCUGAGUAACCAGUUCCAGCUAGACUCGUGGAUUAACUUGUCUAGUCUGGAAUGUUCCUUACUAUCUUUGCCACUUCUAGAAUGUUGGGUAGAGGUUAAUUCAUUAUUUUAUAGAGUGAUAAAAGGAGUAUGAGAUUUGAUCGAUCAUUGUGAGAAGCCAAGUGUAUAGUUCCC